UGUGACACUAUGACUUUUAAAAAUCACCUAAAAUUUAACUCAUUUAGAGUUAGAGGGCACAUCUAGUGAUUACACGUGCAAACUUUUAUGGGAUUUAAGCCCCUCAGUCAAAAGUCUAAGUUGCCAUGGCUCCCCAAAUUUGAAAUCAUUUCGCAGUUGUAUAUGAAAUAUAGCCAAAUUAUGAGCAGAAUCAAAUAUAUACUUAUUAUCGGGGAACUACCAUAACCUUCUUCAUGCUGAUUCACUACUAAUUGGGACAAAACAAACCCCCAACCCGUUGGCAUUACUUAUACCCAUUUUUUUUUGUGUGAUCUUUGAACAAAGCCAAAUUGAUCCAUAAAUAAUACAAAAUAAUUAUUAUGUACAAAUUUUUGCUUAUGGAUCGAGUAGUCUGAAACCAAAAUCUAGCAAUCUGUCUAAUAAAAGAGUAAAAAAA